rnacentral:tRNA from 1 species
GGCCGCGUAGCUCAGCUUGGUAGAGCGUGCACUUACAAAGCGUAAGCGGCCUCCAUGCGUGGGUUUGAAUCUCACCAAAGCUA